AAUUAGUGAUCGCACAAAUUGAAUUCUUAUUGGUUUGGAUAUUCAUCACUACACUAUUGAUCCGUCGAGAUUAAAUUUUCAAUUUGCUCUAGAAAAACGGUAUUUCAUCAGUUGCUAAGCUGUGCAGCAGGCUUUUAGAGCGAUUUCAAAGAUUAAGGAUAUAUCCAAUACGCAAGAUUGGCACUCGGUAGUAUCCAAUACGCAAGAGACAGAGACGCUUCUAAAAGCUUUCUAGGAAAGUUUCAAGUUGAGUUUGCAAACAACAAUUUCUACUUGAUAUUGCAAAGGUGGAAUUAGAUUUGAACAGAGCAGCAACGGGGACAUUUCGUAUUCAAAGGUACAGAUGGAUUUAAUUUGAAACUAACAAUGCCAAACGAAUGUGUUCUGCUAGAUGAAGUAUCGGAUGUUUGGUACAGUUAACAGUAGUGGCGAAGGGGGAUUGGAGACUCGAAACCACAGCUGACUAGAGAGCAUUACCUUAAUUAUACGUGCGUCACGUACUUACGUAAUUAACGUGCUUCAGGCAAUUGACAGACUCAAGGACGGAUAGAUAGCCGAGUUUUAGUUAAGGCCUCCUGCUGGUGGUAGCACUUGAAGUGAUGUUGUCAUCAUCUUCG